rnacentral:rRNA from 1 species
CCUACGGGGGGCAGCAGUGAGGAAUAUUGGUCAAUGGACGAGAGUCUGAACCAGCCAAGUAGCGUGAAGGAUGACUGCCCUAUGGGUUGUAAACUUCUUUUAUAUGGGAAUAAAACGUUCCACGUGUGGGAUUUUGUAUGUACCAUAUGAAUAAGGAUCGGCUAACUCCGUGCCAGCAGCCGCGGUAAUACGGAGGAUCCGAGCGUUAUCCGGAUUUAUUGGGUUUAAAGGGAGCGUAGGUGGAUUGUUAAGUCGGUUGUGAAAGUUUGCGGCUCAACCGUAAAAUUGCAGUUGAAACUGGCAGUCUUGAGUACAGUAGAGGUGGGCGGAAUUCGUGGUGUAGCGGUGAAAUGCUUAGAUAUCACGAAGAACUCCGAUUGCGAAGGCAGUUCACUGGACUGCAACUGACACUGAGGCUCGAAAGUGUGGGUAUCAAACAGGAUUAGAUACCCUAGUAGUC